rnacentral:rRNA from 1 species
ACUCCUACGGGAGGCAGCAGUCGGGAAUAUUGGACAAUGGGCGAAAGCCUGAUCCAGCAAUACCGCGUGUGUGAAGAAGGCCUGCGGGUUGUAAAGCACUUUCAGUUGGGAAGAUAAUGACGUUACCAACAGAAGAAGCACCGGCUAACUCCGUGCCAGCAGCCGCGGUAAUACGGAGGGUGCGAGCGUUAAUCGGAAUUACUGGGCGUAAAGCGUGCGCAGGCGGUUAUGUAAGACAGGUGUGAAAUCCCCGAGCUCAACUUGGGAAUUGCACUUGUGACUGCAUAACUAGAGUGCGGCAGAGGGGAUGGAAUUCCGCGUGUAGCAGUGAAAUGCGUAGAUAUGCGGAGGAACACCGAUGGCGAAGGCAAUCCCCUGGGCCUGCACUGACGCUCAUGCACGAAAGCGUGGGGAGCAAACAGGAUUAGAUACCCUGGUAGGUCAGUC